rnacentral:lncRNA from 10 species
AGAAAAUGAAAUAUAAGGAAGUUCUGAUAAGGAUGACUAGGGAUAUUGGAUGCCAGUUCUCCUCAGAGAGAAGAUCAAAGUGCAGGUGAAUGGUCAUGAUCUGAGUGGAAGGCUGAAGGAAGAGGUCCAGGACCUGUUGGACAGCCCAUGGAAAGAAGCUGGAGGACAGAAAAGGAAAGCAGCAAGAGUCUAGCAGGGAUGGACCACUGAGGAACUCAGAGUCCCGUGGAAAGGGUAGGUGGCGGUAUUUCUCUGUGUGCUCCCCGCACCCCUGUGACAAUCUACUGACUGCCAAAUUGUUUGGGAGCCCCUCUACCCUUAUGUUCCCAGGUAAACCUUUUGGUGACAAUUUGGGAACUUCUCAGGGAUAGAGCACCAAGUGGCCAGCUCCUGAAGGUGUGCUGGCGCUCCCCUCAGGCCUGAACUGAGAUGGUGGGCACUAUACUGACUCUGCACCCAUUGUGGGUGAGUGCCUUACCUGGGAAACCUCAGCCCUUGUUUUGCUGCAUCAUCAGACACACCAUAAACACACCCUAGAACCUGCUCUGACUUUGGCAACCAUGGGGCAUUAGUGGGUCUCUGGGGAGCGGCAGAAUCCCUGGAGAUCUAGUGGCAGAAUCUCUGGGCAGCCUCAACACGGGCUGCUUCCAAGGGAGUGGGUAGCACAACCUGCCAAAGCCUCUCUUGGGACAAAAGAAACAUGGGCACGGCAUCAAUAGCUGAAGGGGGUGUAACAAAUGGCCAGAAAUGAAUACUGAGGGGAGGUUCUCUCCCACUCCUCCCAACCACUGUCGCAGACACAACAGAGACUUUACUUGCUGGAGGCUGACACGAGUGCAUUUUUACUUGUGAGACAGCCUUUUCAGCACUUUUUGUGCCGGCUGCGCCCCCAUUGAAAGUUAGCCCGUGCUGCAUGGGCUUGCAUGAAGGGUGGACCCAUUUCCCCGACCUAUAUAGAGCAGCAGUGUCUGGGCAAUGGAGAGCAGAGAAACCGCACAGCUGUCUGCUCUGGAAUGGAGGAAGAGGCUCUGCAUUGAGCCCAUUUUGUGGGUAGCCACCAGAGGAGGAUUUCGGGGGACCUCAGUUGCACUGCAGCUGGUAGCCAAAGGACAAUGUCAAUAUUAAUCAAAGGUCGCAAGCCCUGUAACAGGAGUUUGAUGGGGAAGAAGAUCGCAUUCCUCUCUGGCCAGAACAAGGACCUGGUGCAUCCACCCUCACACCGCCUCUUCCUCACCCAACCCGUGGGACCUCAGUGUAUCCCAACACAAUCUCACCCUGCUAUCUCUCCUCAACCUCCAUCAGGGCAGGUGCUUCCGUGCAUUAUUGGGCUGCCCCAGGGCAAGCUGGCGCUUACUCUUUUACGCCACCUACUGGAAGGUAGACUGAACUGCACCACCGAAUAAGAAACCUUUCAAGCAUAGGCUGGCGCACAAGAUCAGCUUCCUGAGACUUUCGCACUCUCAGCCCUGUAGAAAACAGUGUGUCAGAUCAUAUAUCUAAUCUUUUGCUACAACAAGCGGCAUUUAAGAAAGCCACGGCACAAAAGCUAUCCAUAACUAAGGAACCCAUACAGAACCCUGGCCUUCUGAAAAUACCCAGAAACAAAGCCAAACAAUCGUACACAACAUACACUACAAUCAUAUGCUCAAGGAAAAAACAAAUAAACGAAAGUCUCAUCCAAACAAUAGCAAAUUCAAAAAUACUAAGCAAGAGCUUUUUUAGAUGAGAAGGAAUCAAUGCAGUAACUCUGGAAGAACAAAGAGUCAGGGUGUUUUGACACCUCCAAAAGAUUGCAUCAGCUUUCUAGCAAUGGAUUCUAACCAAAAUGAAAAUUCUUAAAUGACAGAUAAAGAAUUCAAUAUAUAGAUUGCAAAGAAGUUCAAUGAGAUGCAACAGAAAGUUAAAAGCCAACACACACACAAAAAAACAGAAAAAAUGAUUCAGGAUAUCAAAGAUUAAAUAGUUUAUAGCUUUAUACAUAUAAAACAACAUAUAUAAAAAACACUUCUGAAAUUACAUAUACUUUAUAAUUAUUAUAUAUAAUAAUUAUUGAAUAUUACAGUUUUAAAUUAUAUAUAAUUGAAAAAAUUAUUAUAUAUAAUAUGCAUAUUGAAAGAAACUAAAUAUUAUUAUUGUAUAUAUUAUGAUAUAUGUAUAUUGAAAGAACUGAAUGAAAUUAGAACUAAUAAAAUCAUAGAUAGAAUUAACAAAACAAAAAGUUGGCUUUUUUGAAAGGAUAAAAUUGAUAGACUGCUUACUAGAUUAACCAAUAAAAAAGAGAAGAUUCAAAUAAGGACAAUCAGAAUUUAUAAAGGUGGCAUUAGAACUGACACCACAGAAAUACAAAAGAUCACUAUAGACCUCUAUGGAGAUCUCUAAGUACACAAACUAGAAAACCUAGAGGAAAUGAAUUCCUUGAAACAUAUAAUCUUCCAAUGUUGAACCAGAAGAAAACUUGAAAUUCUCUACAAAUAACAUGUUAUGAAAUUAAAUCAGUAAUAAAAAUAACUACUAACCAAAAAAGCUCAGAACCAGAUGAAUUAACAGCCAAAUUCUGCCUGACAUACAAAGAGCUGGUACCAAUCUUUCUGAAACUAUUCCAAAAUAUUGAUGAGGAAGGAUUCCUCUCUAAUUCAUUUUAUGAAGCCAGUAUCAUCCUGAUACCCAAAUCUGGCAAGGACACAACAACAAUAACAAAAAAACACAGGCCAAUAUUCCUGAUGAAUGUAGAUGCAAAAAUACUCACCAAAAUACUAGCAAACCAAAUCCAACAGCACAGCAAAAAGAUAAGUUAUUACAAUCAAGUAGGUUUUAUUCUAGGGAUGCAAGUUUGGUUCAACAUACGUAAAUCAGUAAAUGUGAUUCACCACAUAAACAUAAAUUAAAACAGAAACCAUGUGAUCAUCUCAGUAGAAGCAGAAACAGCAUUUAGUAAAAUCCAGCAUCCUUUUCUGAUAAAAUCCCUCAACAAACUAGGCAUUGAAGGAAUAUACCUAAAAAUAAUAAGAGCUGUCUAUGAUAAACCCACAGCCAACAUGAUACCGAAUGGGGAAAAGUUGAAAACGUUCCUGAUAAGAACUGAAAAAAGACAAACAUAUCCACUGUCACUACUCCUAUUCAACAUAAUACUAGAAGUCUUAGAUAGAACAAUCAGGGAAGGGAAAUAAAAAGCACCCAAACUGGGACAGAAAGAAUCAUAUUAACUCUGUUACAGAUGACAUGAUCUUAUACCAAGAAAAUCCUAAAGAUUCCUUGAGAAGAUUCCUAGACUGGAUAAACAACUGCAGUACAUUUUCGGAAUGCAAAAUUAGUGUUCAAAAAUCUGUUGCAUUUCUCUAAGUUGACAAGGCAGAAGCUGAGAAACAAAUCAAGACCUCAAUCCCAUUUACAAUAACUACACACACACACACACACACACACACAAACAUAGGAAUACAUUUAACUAAGCAGGUGAAAGAUUUCUGCAAGGAGAGCUAAAAAACUGAUGAAAGAAACCAUGGAUGAUAGAAACUAAUGGAAAAAAAAUCCCAUGAUCAUAGAUAGGAGGAAUCAAUAUUAUUAAAAUGACUAUAUUGUUCAAAGCAUUCUACAAUUCAAUGUAAUUCCUAUCAAAUUACCAGCACCAUUUUUCUCUGAUUUAGAAAAAACAAUUCUAAAAUUCAUAUGGAAUUGAAAAAGAGCCUGAAUAUCCAAAGCAAUCCUAAGCAGAAAGAACAAAGCCAGAGGCAUCACAUUACUUGACUUCAAAUUAUAUUACAAGUCGAAAGUAACCAAAACAGCAUGGUACUGUUACAAAAAUAGACACAUAGAUCAAUGGAACAGAAUAAAAAAUCCCAAAUAAAAGCCACAUAUCUACAACCAACUGAUCUUAGACAAAGUCAAUAAAAGUGAAUAAUGAAGAUGGGACCCCCUAUUCAAUAAAUGGUGCUGGAAAAAUUGGCUAGCCAUAUGCAGAAGAAGGAAGCUAGACCUUUAUCUCUUACCAUAUAUAAAUAAUUAACUCAAGAUAAAUUACAGUUUUAAAUGUAAGACCUGAAACCUAAAACUUCUAGAAGCAGACCUAAGAAAAUCUCUUCCAGAUAUUGGCCUAGGCAAAUAACUUAUGACUAAGACCUCAAAAGCAAAUGCAACAAAAAUAAAAAUAGACCAAUGUGACUUAAUUAAAAUAAAGAACUUCUGCACAGCAAAAGAAACUAUUGGCAGAGUAAACCGACAAUCUAUAGAAUGGGAAAAUAUAUUAGCAAAUUAUGCAUCUGACAAAAGACUAAUAUCCAGAAUCUAUAAAGAACUUCAACAGAUCAACAACGAAAAAAAUCCCACAAAUAAUCCCAUUAAAAAUGGGCAAAGUAUAUGAACAGACACUUAUCAAAAGAAGACAUACAAGUGGCCAAAAAACAUAAAAAUUGUUCAACAACAAUUGCUCAA